CAUCCUAGCAUCCUUGGCGAUCACUGAAGAAGCAGAACACGGUUCUGAACUAUCUCGUUCUGGACAAACUCUCUCUGCUCCUGUUUCUUGUUAAGGUUCCCUGGACAGCACAAGGGUACCAACACACAGGCUGGAAAGUGUGAUGGUGGGAGAUGCUUCUGCUAGCCAAAGAUAGCUAGAAAUUGCUAUCAAACUACUAGAAAUUGGGAGAAAAGCCAGGAACAGACUCAGCCUUCAGAAAAAAGGAAUGCUGCCAGCACCUUUAUCCUGAACCGCCAGCUUCAAGAACCGUGAGAUAAUACAUUUCCAACAUUUUAAACUACCAAUUUGUGGUACUUUGUGAAGGCAGCCCUGGGAACCUAAUGCAUGGAACAAAUUGUUCUGUCUUCCCAAUCCAUCCUCUUUCCACCCUCCCUCCCCAACUUCCAAAGAAGCAGCCAUGUUGAACAACAUGUCGCCCUCCCCUGGUUAGAGUUCACUGGCACCCAACAUCUGAGAGCAAAGAGCAAGCCUCUGAUGACUUCAACUGAAAACAUAAAUCACAGGAACUGGCAACAACCGCGUUCCCACCCAGAAGAAAAGCAGCCAGCCACAAGGCAAAGCAAGCGCCCGGAGAUGCAGACUCCAGUCUGGGAGACAGAGAGCUAGCUGGUUAUUUUCCAGCCCUGGGCUCCAUCUGUGCCUGAGACCUCAGCUGCAUCUGAACUUGGCUCUGACUUUGAAUUCCAGGAAGCUGUAAUGACCAUCCAAUAAAUUCAUCUUUUUGCUAAACCUGAUUCUUAUUAGGUUUUUGAGACUUACAAGUCAGACUUCUACUUGAUGGAGUCUCUGAAAUGUAUGCCCUCUGCUUUUUCACGUGAGUGGAAGGCUGCUUGCUACUCUGUAAGCAGCUGGGCCUUUACACCCGCAGGGACGCAGAACCCGGAAAAGAAUACUGUUGAGAGUAAAUGGGUGAGCA